rnacentral:rRNA from 1 species
AACGAACGCUGGCGGCAUGCCUAACACAUGCAAGUCGAACGAGACCUUAGGGUGUAGUGGCGCAUGGGUGUGUAACGCGUGGGAACCUGCCCUUAGGUUUGGAAUAACUCUUCGUCAGGGGUGAUAAUAUCGGAUACUGACUCUGGUACCACGUUCUAUCGCCUUUGGAUGGGCCCGCGUUGGCUUAGCUGGCUCGUAGGGUAAAAGCCUACUAAGGUGACGAUCCAUAGCUGGUCAGAGAGAAGGAUCAGCCACACUGGGAGGGAGACACAGCCGAGAAUCCUACGGGAGGCAGGAGUGCGGAAUAUUGGACAAUGGGGGAGAUGCUGAUGCAGCAAGGCUGCGAGAGUGAUGUAGUCCGUAGGGAAGAAAAGCUCUUUUACCCGGGAUGAUAAUGACAGUACCGAGAGAAUAAGCUCCGGCUAACUCCGUG